rnacentral:rRNA from 1 species
CGCAGCCGCGGUAAUUCCAGCUCCAAUAGCGUAUAUUAAAGUUGUUGCAGUUAAAAAGCUCGUAGUUGAAUUUCGAGAUCAAAUUGUUGGUCGUGCCUCGGUACGUACUGGCAUUAUUGAUUUCUCCUUUCUGAAGAACCUUGAUGUCAUUAAUUUGGUGUCUUGGGGAAUCAGGACCGUUACUUUGAAAAAAUUAGAGUGUUUAAAGCAGGCUCACGCUUGAAUACAUUAGCAUGGAAUAAUGAAAUAGGACGUUUGAUUCUAUUUUGUUGGUUUCUAGGAUCGACGUAAUGAUUAAUAGGGAUAGUUGGGGGCAUU